AUGCAAGUCGAGCGAUGAAGUUUCUUCGGAAAUGGAUUAGCGGCGAACGGGUGAGGAACACGUGAAGAAUCUGCCCUCCACUUUGGGAUAACACCGGGAAACCGGUGCUAAUACCGAAUAUUGAAACAUAAGUGGCAUCACUGAGUUUUGAAAGAAUUUCGGUGGAGGAUGACUUCGCGGCCUAUCAGCUAGUUGGUGAGGUAAUGGCUCACCAAGGCAACGACGGGUAGCCGGCCUGAGAGGGCGACCGGCCACACUGGGACUGAGACACGGCCCAGACUCCUACGGGAGGCAGCAGUGGGGAAUAUUGGGCAAUGGAGGAAACUCUGACCCAGCGACGCCGCGUGCGGGAUGAAGGCCUUCGGGUUGUAAACCGCUUUCAGUAGGGAAGAAGCGAAAGUGACGGUACCUACAAAAGAAGCACCGGCUAACUAUGUGCCAGCAGCCGCGGUAAUACAUAGGGUGCAAGCGUUGUCCGGAAUUAUUGGGCGUAAAGAGCUCGUAGGUCGUUUGUUACGUCGGAUGUGAAAACCUGAGGCUCAACCUCAGGCCUGCAUUCGAUACGGGCAAACUAGAGUUUGGUAGGGGAGACUGGAAUUCCUGGUGUAGCGGUGGAAUGCGCAGAUAUCAGGAGGAACACCAAUGGCGAAGGCAGGUCUCUGGGCCAAUACUGACACUGAGGAGCGAAAGUCUGGGGAGCGAACAGGAUUAGAUACCCUGGUAGUCCAGACCGUAAACGGUGGGCACUAGUUGUGGGAACCUUCCACGGUUUCUGCGACGCAGCUAACGCAUUAAGUGCCCCGCCUGGGGAGUACGAUCGCAAGAUUAAAACUCAAAGGAAUUGACGGGGCCCCGCACAAGCAGCGGAGCAUGCGGCUUAAUUCGACGCAACGCGAAGAACCUUACCAAGGCUUGACAUAUAGGGGAAAGUGGCAGAGAUGUCAUGUCCCGCAGGGCUCUAUACAGGUGGUGCAUGGGUGUCGUCAGCUCGUGUC
rnacentral:rRNA from 1 species